rnacentral:rRNA from 1 species
UGGCGGACGGGUGAGUAACGCGUGGGUAACCUGCCUCAUACAGGGGGAUAACAGUUAGAAAUGACUGCUAAUACCGCAUAAGACCACAGAGCCGCAUGGCUCGGUGGGAAAAACUCCGGUGGUACAAGAUGGACCCGCGUCUGAUUAGCUAGUUGGUAAGGUAACGGCUUACCAAGGCGACGAUCAGUAGCCGACCUGAGAGGGUGACCGGCCACAUUGGGACUGAGACACGGCCCAA